UGCACGUCUAAGAACAAUCGUGAAUACACAAGAGAAUCUGCAGAUGGCUCAUUAUAUCAGUUAUGGUUUAUUGGAGAACAGUCAGUUGCCAUGGAUAACUGUGGUAAUUCUAGAGCUAAUACAUGCGAUUAAGCGCCGACCCUUCGGGGGAAGCGUGCUUUUAUUGGGAACAAGGCCAGCUCGGUUCCUCAAGAAUGGGGGCCGGUCUCCGCUGGUGAACUCUAGAUAACCACGCCGAUCGCACGGUCUCGCACCGGCGACGCUCCCUUCAAAAGUCUGCUCUAUCAACUUUCGAUGGUAAGUUAUCUGCUUAUCAUGGUUGUGACGGGUAACGGAGAAUCAGGGUUCGAUUCCGGAGAGGGAGCCUGAGAAACGGCUACCACAUCCAAGGAAGGCAGCAGGCACGCAAAUUACCCACUCCCGACACGGGGAGGUAGUGACAAAAAAUAACGAUACAGGCCUCCUUCGGAGGCUCUGKGAUCGGAAUGAUGCGGUGCUCUUAACUGAGUGCCGUGCGAGGCUGAAACGUUUACUUUGAGAAAAUUAGAGUGUUCAAAGCAGGCCAAAGUGCCCGAACAGCUCAGCAUAGAAUAGUGGAAAAGGACCUCGGCUCGUUCUAUUUCGUUGGUCUCUGGAACCUGAGGUAAUGAUCAAGAGGGACUGCCGGGGGCAUUCGUAUUGCGGCGUGAGAGGUGAAAUUCUUGGAUCGUCGCAAGACGCCCGACAGCGAAAGCAUUUGCCAAGAAUGUCUUCAUUGAUCAAGAACGAAAGUCGGAGGAUCGAAGGCGAUCAGAUACCGCCCUAGUUCCGACCAUAAACGAUACCGACCCGUAAUUCGCCGGCGUUCCUCCCAUGACGCGGCGGGCAACUCUCCGGGAAACCAAAGUCUUUGGGUUCCGGGGGAAGUAUGGUUGCAAAGCUGAAACUUAAAGGAAUUGACGGAAGGGCACCACCAGGAGUGGAGCCUGCGGCUUAAUUUGACUCAACACGGGGAAACCUACCCGGCCCGGACACAGUAAGGAUUGACAGAUUGAGAGCUCUUUCUCGAUUUUGUGGAUGGUGGUGCAUGGCCGUUCUUAGUUGGUGGAGUGAUUUGUCUGGUUAAUUCCGAUAACGAACGAGACUCUGGCUUGCUAUAUAGUCCGGCCACCCGUCGUGGUGUGCCGCGUCUAACUUCAUAGAGGGACAAAUGGCGUUCAGCCAUACGAGAUAGAGCAAUAACAGGUCUGUGAUGCCCUUAGAUGUCCGGGGCCGCACGCGCGCUACACUGGCGCAAGCAGCGGGUACAUUUGCCCUMGGCCGACAGGUCUGGGUAAUCCGCUGAGAUUCCGCCGUGCUGGGGACAGGGACUUGUAAUUGUGUCCCUUGAACGAGGAAUUCCAAGUAAACGCGAGUCAUCAGCUCGCAUUGAUUACGUCCCUGCCCUUUGUACACACCGCCCGUCGCUACUACCGAUCGAAUGGCUUAGUGAGGCCAUUGGAUCGUCCGUCUG
rnacentral:rRNA from 1 species